rnacentral:rRNA from 1 species
AACGAACGUUGGCGGCGUGGAUUAGGCAUGCAAGUCGAGCGGGAUUAACUUACUUCAAUCUUUCGGGAGAGAAGUUUGUUAUGAGAGCGGCGAACGGGUGAGUAAUAAAUGGGUAAUUUGCCUCUUUGUUCGGGAUAGCCAUCGGAAACGAUGAUUAAUACCGAAUGUGUUCGGGUGCUUCAUGGCACCCUCUAUAAAGGCGGGGAUCUUCGGACCUGUCGCAAAGAGAUAAGCCCAUUUCCUAUCAGCUUGUUGGUGAGGUAACGGCUCACCAAGGCUUACGGGUAGCUGGUCUGAGAGGAUGAUCAGCCACACUGGGACUGAGACACUGCCCAG